UGAGAAUAAGCGCCAAAUAACAUUCUGCAGGUGCAUAUUACAGUUUCCAAUCUAUAACCUCUGUGAUCUGUGGUGGACAGUUGUUUGGACAUAUUUGGAUUUUGAGAAAACAUUGUUUUAAUUUGUAUUUUUAAUACAAAAUGGACUUGAAAGGCGAUAAAACUGACUAUGGGCAAAUCUGCAGAAUCUGUUUAAAGAGUAGUGCGUGUUUAAAUAACCUGUUUGAAGCUGACGUGCCCCAUAUGUUGAAAUUUUGUGGGUUCUUAGAGGUUUGUCGGUUGCAACUACAUUAAAGGCUUAAAUAAAGUCUUCAAUAGUGCGUCUAGGUUACUACUAUCUAACCAUGAGAGAAAAACGAUAGCAGUUGAUUCAGUUAAGAUUUAAAAAAACCUGAUUGUUUCUAUUAACCCAUCACUGGGGACUGGGGUGAAUAAAAACGCAUGCCAAUUUUAA